GUUUUUCUGUAAUGGCCGUUUUUUCUGUAAUGGCCCUGUUUUUCUGUAAUGGCCCUGUAUUAAUGCCCGGUUUGUCUGUAUAAACACAGUUAAGGUUUUUAAUAAAGUUAAUAAAAUUAAGUUAUAAAGAGUAUAAUACCUUUUUGUAUUUUAUUCAAUUUAGUAACCAGCAACCAACAUUAAAGAACCUUAUAUAGGGAUCACUGUUCCUCCUGUUUUUCAACACAUAACUUCUGUCAAUUUAAUAUCUUGAAUAUUUGGAAUAUUAACACAUACACUUUUAUUCAGUUGGUUAGUAAAUGUAUUAAGAAAUGGGUGUUUUUAUAAUGGCUCUGUUAUAUGUCCUCGGUCAGUAAUAAUGGCCUCGGAUGUCUGUAAUGGCCCUCGGCGUUGCCUCGGGCCAUUACAGACUUCCUCGACCAUUAUAACAGACAUUGGACAUAUAACAGGGUCAUUAUAAAAACACCCAUUCAUUAAUACUAUAAUAUGAAGCGUCGUAACUGUUGCGGCGACGUCAAUAACGUUGUCGUUGUUUUUUGGUUUUUUUUACACUCAAGAUUCAACUUUAACAGGGUAUAGCUUGAAAAGUAGCACGGUUGCUAAGGACUUUCUUUGCACCAAUCGAUUCCUCAGACAUUUUAGAAUCGUCUCAUAAAUUUUAAAAAAAAUUGAUUGUCUAAUAUAAUAGAAAAUCUUGGAAAUGUAACAAUUCCUGCCGAAUUUCACGAUUUUCCCUAUAUAUCCUUUGUAAUUUUGG
rnacentral:lncRNA from 1 species